UACGGAGGAUGCAAGCGUUAUCCGGAAUUAUUGGGCGUAAAGCGUCCGCAGGUGGUUACUCAAGUCCGCUGUCAAAGGCUAGAGCUUAACUCUAGAUAGGCGGUGGAAACUGAGAAACUAGAGUCCGGUAGGGGUAGCGGGAAUUCCCAGUGUAGCGGUGAAAUGCGUAGAUAUUGGGAAGAACAUCGGUGGCGAAGGCGCGCUACUGGGCCGGAACUGACACUCAGGGACGAAAGCUAGGGGAGCGAAAGGG
rnacentral:rRNA from 1 species